CGCCCAACAGCUAGCCCUCCCACCCAAAAACAAUACACAACCAUUAAUACCCCCAAAUACCGUAACAUCACAAAACAAACCAUUUUUCCCCCUUAGUAUGGGAGACAGAAAAGGAUCUAAGGAGCAAUAGAAAAAGUACCGCAAGGGAAUGCUGAAAGAGAAAUGAAACAAUUCAGUAACGCCUAAAAAAGCAGAGACUACACCUCGUACCUUUUGCAUCAUGACUUAGCCAGUAAGACUCAAGCAAAGAGAACUUUAGUUUGACCCCCCGAAACUAGAUGAGCUACUCCAAGACAGCCUAUUAAUUAGGGCAAACCCGUCUCUGUGGCAAAAGAGUGGGAAGAGCUUUGAGUAGAGGUGAUAAACCUACCGAAUCUAGUUAUAGCUGGUUACCUGAGAAUUGGACCGAAGUUCAGCCUCCCUUUUUCUCCCCUCCUCCCUUAUCUAUUAACCUUAUAGACUCCGAGAAAUAGAGAGAGUUAGUCAAAGGGGGUACAGCCCCUUUGACAUAAGAUACAACUUUUCCAGGCGGGUAAAGAUCAAAAUUAAAAAAGAUAAAAUGUUCCGGUGGGCCUAAAAGCAGCCAUCCGCACAGAAAGCGUUAAAGCUCAGACAUUUUCACAUUCUAAUUAUUUUGAUAACUCCUUCUUAACCCCCUACCCCUAUCAGGUCCCCCUAUGCCCCCAUAGGAGUGACUAUGCUAAUAUGAGUAAUAAGAGGUAAAUUAAACCUCUCCUCGCACGUGUGUAAGUCGGAACGGACUCCCCACCGACCCUUAACGGCCCCAAAUAACAGAGGGUAUUGGAUAAUAAACUUAAUAACCAGAAAACUUCCCAACAAAACCCCGUUAACCCCACACUGGUGUGCAACCAAGGAAAGACUAAAAGAAAAAGAAGGAACUCGGCAAACACAUAAAGCCUCGCCUGUUUACCAAAAACAUCGCCUCUUGCAAAAGCAACGAAUAAGAGGUCCCGCCUGCCCUGUGACUAUUAGUUUAACGGCCGCGGUAUUCUGACCGUGCAAAGGUAGCGCAAUCACUUGUCUUUUAAAUGGAGACCUGUAUGAAUGGCAUCACGAGGGCUUAACUGUCUCCUUUUUCUAGUCAAUGAAAUUGAUCUCCCCGUGCAGAAGCGGGGCUAAAAACAUAAGACGAGAAGACCCUAUGGAGCUUUAGACACUAAGACAGACCACGUUAAAUACCCCUAAAAAAAGGACUGAACCAAGUGGACCCCGUCCUAAUGUCUUUGGUUGGGGCGACCGCGGGGAAACACAAAACCCCCAUGUGGAAUGGGAGGACUACUUACCUCCCACAACUCAGAGCUCCCGCUCUAAUUAACAGAAAUUCUGACCAGCAAGAUCCGGCAAAGCCGAUCAACGAACCGAGUUACCCUAGGGAUAACAGCGCAAUCCUCUUUUAGAGCCCAUAUCGACAAGAGGGUUUACGACCUCGAUGUUGGAUCAGGACAUCCUAAUGGUGCAGCCGCUAUUAAGGGUUCGUUUGUUCAACGAUUAAAGUCCUACGUGAUCUGAGUUCAGACCGGAGUAAUCCAGGUCAGUUUCUAUCUAUGACAUGUUUUUUUCUAGUACGAAAGGACCGAAAAGAAAAGGCCCAUACUUAAAGCACGCCUUACCCUCACCUAAUGAAGUCAACUAAAAUAGACAAAAGGGCAUACCCUACCUGCUCAAGAAAAAAGCAC
rnacentral:rRNA from 1 species